rnacentral:misc_RNA from 1 species
AAUGUGCGGGAUGCUUAUGAUAGAAGUGUAAACAGUGCACUUUUUGACAUUGUAUGAGCUUGAACGUAUGUAUAUAUGUAUUUUAAAUGAAAGUUGUCGUGUGGUUUGUAAGGUGCUAUGUUCGUCAACCUCGUGGUCGUUUAAAAAUAACUCGAGGUCAUCACAGAGUAUAUCGCAAAUAGUUUCAAUAUCCUUCAGUGGAACAGAUGCAUGUGAAUGCAUGCGCUAUGCAUAUUAGGGUGACGCACACAUGUUUUCUGUAUUUAAUUUGAUUAUUCACAAAUUGUGAAAAUCCGAUAAAAAGUCGAAUACGUCUGUGUUUUCGUUAAAGGAAAUAAAUGGCACACAAAACCUACGAGUAAUUUUAAAAGUUGGGGCAUAUUUAGAACACCAUUAGAUUAGAACUUUUGACGAAAUCUGCUUAGGAUGUAGUAGUCGAGUGCGAGCUACCAUGCAAAUGGUUAUGGUUUCGAUGCUUGGUAGCCCCUCGGCAAGGAUUGUCAAGGCCUCCGAGUAUAUUUCUAACACAAAAUAAGAGCUCUUAUUAAAACUCCAUCCAUCGUUCAGAAUAAACUGUUCAUCACUUCAUUUGUUGAAAAAACAAUAAGCACGUAUUCAACAAGUGGGAGGAGCAACCGGCCGGAAGCGGAACAUUUAGUGCUAAAUUAGUUGGUUAUAUUGGCAUCGGCUAAGUGCAGACAGAAUAUAUGUAUGAUUUUAUUCCAAUUUCGCAGAGCACUCUGUUGUAGAGUCGCAAAGACUAUGUGCUGAUUGAGUUUUCGACGAAACAUGUGACAGUGCUAGAGAGUGCAAGUGAUAAAGACAAGUUUAAACAACGAAAUUCCGGAAGCUAUCGUGCUUUUUUAUGGAUAAAAAGUGAAUUUGCAUAAAUGUAUUUUGAGCUACACUAAUGAUGCUAAUUUCAAAAAUAAUAAAAAUAUAUUGCAAUAGUUAGAUUUAGAAGUAAAGCCUAAAUACGAGACGUGGAAGCGAUGUUCGAAAUAUUAACUAUGUGUACACCUAUGUAUAGUCAGCGCGUAUAUACUACUAACGAAGAUUCCUAAUGUAUUUUCUACAACAAAAUAGAAAAUAUAGAAACUAAUUGUAAUCGCAAUGAUAAAGAGAAGAGAAAUAAAACUUCGCCUAAAUGAAGAAUGAAGAAACAAAAUGUUCGCACGAUAUCUUUGAUCGUGUGCACAUUUACAUAUUUACUAGUUGGUGCUGCAGUAUUUGACUCACUCGAAUCGGAAACGGAAAAGCGGCGCUGGGAAGCUCUGCAAGCUAUCGAAGACAUGAUAAUACGAAAAUACAAUAUUUCACAAGAGGACUUCAAAGUAAUGGAGACAGUUGUGCUCAAAUCGGAACCGCAUAAAGCGGGUCAACAAUGGAAAUUUACUGGUGCAUUUUAUUAUGCAACAACAGUGUUGACCACUAUCGGUUAUGGCCAUUCUACGCCAAGCACAAUUGGUGGCAAACUCUUCACAAUGUGCUACGCUAUUGUGGGGAUACCCUUGGGCCUUGUGAUGUUUCAAAGUAUUGGAGAAAGAGUGAAUAGACUGAGCAGCUAUGUUAUACAAGCAGUGAGGAAAUCGCUACGUUGUAAACGAACUGCAGCUUCUGAAGUAGAUUUAAUAUGCGUUGUGACAACGCUCAGCUCUUUGACGAUAGCUGGUGGUGCGGCGGCUUUUUCACGCUAUGAAGGUUGGAGCUAUUUCGACUCAGUAUAUUACUGUUUUAUUACUUUAACUACGAUAGGUUUUGGAGAUAUGGUAGCUUUACAAAAAGACAAUGCACUCAAUAACAAACCGCAAUAUGUAAUGUUCGCAUUGAUCUUCAUAUUGUUCGGUUUGGCAAUUGUUGCUGCCUCGUUGAAUCUGCUUGUGCUGCGGUUUGUUACUAUGAAUACGGAGGAUGAGCGGAGGGACGAAGCUCAAGCCAUGCAGUUUUUGACCAAGUCCAAUAUUUGGACCAAAGAGGCUCUGCAAGUAGCCGUUAAAUUAGAAGGUGAUGUUAUUACUGCAAAUGGUUCCAUUUUAAGUGGAUAUGAGGGCCAUGAAGUACAGUCAAAUAGUAGUGGAUCAACUACAUCCAUGUGUUCAUGUAGCUGUGCACGUUUUAGUGCAAAUCGUCAUAAAAAGCAUCAAUAUAAAGCACGCCGUUCACCCUCGCAUAUACGUCAUUUAUUGCCGGAAGUAGUACCAAUGCAGGAUUUAAGUUACGAUACACACAGCCUCAAUGCGGACGGGCUCGAUAUUGUGGACACAUCAUCCGUCUCGCCUUCGAAACCUCACAGACAAUUACUCAAACGGAAUGUGUCGUUACUCUCUUUUCGUAUUUAAAAUACAAUUACUAUUAAAUAAAAUAAUUUAAGUAGAAUUAUACUAAAUACUUAGGUACUUACAGCUUUUCAUUGUGCACCAAGAAAUUCGAAGAAGAAAAAGAAUAAGAUGAGUGCGUUUAUUUGGUGUAUUUGCUUAAAUAAUUAUGAAUUUUUAGUUGGAUCCCUCACGUGGAACACGACCUAAUGUAGAAAUUAAUAAACAAUUUUCUGCGCUUCAUUUGCGAAUAUGUAUGUAUGUAUGGUAAUUGCGAAUGCUUUUAAACAAUAAUUUAGAAUGAGGUAGAUAGGAUGUAUCUCAACAUAGCGGAAAAAAUCGCAUUUUAGCUACACAUAAGGGAAAAGCAUAAAAAAAUUUCCGAUUUAAAUUCGAGGCAUUCAGAAGCUUUUAUAGAAUUUUUCCGAACAUUUUUAGCAUUUAAAGCUUUGUAUAUAAUCUUGCAUUUCACAAAAAUUAUUGAUAUUUUAUUAACAAAAAGCUUGUUUGUAUCGAUCUGCUAUCAUGUUAACAAUGGGAUUCAAUAUUCACUUGACUCUCGUUAAAAACUUUGCUUAUUAGAAAUAUUUGGUUAUUUAAAUGCUUUCUUGUGCACCUAAAACUUUUGACGUUUAAGUAACAAAUAUCACCUUAAUACUGAGCUGAUCUUCUAAACAAAUUUUCCUAAUUCUUUGAGAAUUGAACCAUCAGCUUCAGUGCUUUGAUUUCAGUGGACAAUAUAUAAAUUAACUUCUAGUUUAGUUUAGUGAGUUCCCAAAAAUAGCAGAACGAAACUAAAAUCCAAACUUAUGUGUAAUAUAAAUGAAAUAAAAAUAAAAUUUUUUUUAAUUAAAAUUAAAGUAUAAAAUGGAUAUUUGCGGAAAACAGUGAGUAGCCGAGUUGGGGCCUUUCAAAAAGGGAAAAUCAAAUAUAUAUAUUGUAUUUUCAUUAAGGUUAAUUAGUUUUGUGCAGAAGAGCAUAGCCGUUUUUCAAUUUACAAUCAACGUGUUAAAUAUGAUAAACAAAUAUGCGAACUUAUUAUAAUUUCUUUUCUUUAAAAUAUGUAUUGAAUUACCA